rnacentral:rRNA from 1 species
UACGUAGGGACCAAGCGUUGUCCGGAUUUAUUGGGCGUAAAGAGCUCGUAGGCGGCCCUCCACGUCGGAUGUGAAAGCUCAGGGCUCAACCCUGAGAUGCCAUUCGAUACGGGAAGGCUAGAGGUAGGUAGGGGAAAGUGGAAUUCCUGGUGUAGCGGUGAAAUGCGCAGAUAUCAGGAGGAACACCGGUGGCGAAGGCGGCUUUCUGGGCCUUACCUGACGCUGAGGAGCGAAAGCAUGGGGAGCAAACAGG